UGAAACACAGUCUGGGAGCGUCUUGUGUUC
rnacentral:piRNA from 1 species